GGUGAGAUGGCCGAGCGGUCCAAGGCGCCAGACUAAGGUUACAAAGCUGGCUGCAUGAUGCAUUCAUACCAAUCUGGUCCCUCCGGGGGCAUGGGUUCGAAUCCCAUUCUCAUCA